GAGUUUGAUCAUGGCUCAGGAUGAACGCUGGCGGCGUGCUUAACACAUGCAAGUCGAACGAACCUUCGGGUUAGUGGCGGACGGGUGAGUAACGCGUGGGAAUCUGCCCUCAGGAGGGGGAUAACGGUUGGAAACGACCGCUAAUACCCCAUAUGCCGAGAGGUGAAAUGAAUUUCGCCUGAGGAUGAGCCCGCGUCUGAUUAGCUUGUUGGUGAGGUAAUGGCUCACCAAGGCAUCGAUCAGUAGCUGGUCUGAGAGGAUGAUCAGCCACACUGGGACUGAGACACGGCCCAGACUCCUACGGGAGGCAGCAGUGGGGAAUUUUCCGCAAUGGACGAAAGUCUGACGGAGCAACGCCGCGUGAGGGACGAAGGCCUCUGGGCUGUAAACCUCUUUUCUCAAGGAAGAAGAUAUGACGGUACUUGAGGAAUAAGCCACGGCUAAUUCCGUGCCAGCAGCCGCGGUAAUACGGGAGUGGCAAGCGUUAUCCGGAAUUAUUGGGCGUAAAGCGUCCGCAGGCGGCCUUUCAAGUCUGCUGUUAAAGCGUGGAGCUUAACUCCAUCAUGGCAGUGGAAACUGACUGGCUUGAGUAUGGUAGGGGUAGAGGGAAUUCCCGGUGUAGCAGUGAAAUGCGUAGAUAUCGGGAAGAACACCAGUGGCGAAGGCGCUCUACUGGGCCAUUACUGACGCUCAUGGACGAAAGCCAGGGGAGCGAAAGGGAUUAGAUACCCCUGUAGUCCUGGCCGUAAACGAUGAACACUAGGUGUCGGGGGAAUCGACCCCUUCGGUGUCGUAGCUAACGCGUUAAGUGUUCCGCCUGGGGAGUACGCACGCAAGUGUGAAACUCAAAGGAAUUGACGGGGGCCCGCACAAGCGGUGGAGUAUGUGGUUUAAUUCGAUGCAACGCGAAGAACCUUACCAGGGCUUGACAUCCUGCGAAUCUUUAAGAAAUUAGAGGGCGCCUUCGGGAACGCAGUGACAGGUGGUGCAUGGCUGUCGUCAGCUCGUGUCGUGAGAUGUUGGGUUAAGUCCCCCAACGAGCGCAACCCACGUUUUUAGUUGCCAGAAUUUAGUUGGGCACUCUAGAAAGACCGCCGGUGAUAAACCGGAGGAAGGUGUGGAUGACGUCAAGUCAUCAUGCCCCUUACGUCCUGGGCUACACACGUACUACAAUGCUACGGACAAAGGGCAGCAAACUCGCGAGAGCUAGCAAAUCCCAUAAACCGUGGCUCAGUUCAGAUCGUAGGCUGCAACUCGCCUACGUGAAGUAGGAAUCGCUAGUAAUCGCAGGUCAGCAUACUGCGGUGAAUCCGUUCCCGGGCCUUGUACACACCGCCCGUCACACCAUGGGAGCUGGUCAUACCCGAAGCCGUUUGCUUAACCAUUCGGAGAGCGACGUCUAAGGUAGGGCUAGUGACUGGGGUGAAGUCGUAACAAGGUAACC
rnacentral:rRNA from 1 species